UACGAAGGGGGCGAGCGUUGUUCGGAAUUACUGGGCGUAAAGGGCGCGCAGGCGGCUCGACAAGUCAGAUGUGAAAGCCCCGGGCUCAACCUGGGAACGGCAUUUGGGACUGUCGGGCUAGAGUUCGGGAGAGGUGGGUGGAAUUCCCAGUGUAGAGGUGAAAUUCGUAGAUAUCAGGAGGAACACCAAUUGCGAAGGCAGCUCGCUGGGACGUUACUGACGCUGAUGCGCGAAAGCGUGGGGAGCAAACAGG
rnacentral:rRNA from 1 species